GUUAUUCGUGGCUCGAAUUCGCUUGGUGCAGGUCGGGAACACUCUUGUCUUACUGCGUACAGUGAUAAUAACCUAGAACCUAGAACAGACUGAAAUCUAUGCAUAUCAGGGCAAAACUGUUCCCCACAUGCAUCAACUGAAUCGGAGCCGCUGGUAAU
rnacentral:pre_miRNA from 1 species